rnacentral:rRNA from 1 species
AGCGAACGCUGGCGGCAGGCUUAACACAUGCAAGUCGAGCGGGCACUUUCGGGUGUCAGCGGCAGACGGGUGAGUAACACGUGGGAACGUACCCUUUGGUUCGGAAUAACGCUGGGAAACUAGCGCUAAUACCGGAUACGCCCUUUUGGGGAAAGGCUUGCUGCCGAAGGAUCGGCCCGCGUCUGAUUAGCUAGUUGGUGGGGUAAUGGCCUACCAAGGCGACGAUCAGUAGCUGGUCUGAGAGGAUGAUCAGCCACACUGGGACUGAGACACGGCCCAGACUCCUACGGGAGGCAGCAGUGGGGAAUAUUGGACAAUGGGCGCAAGCCUGAUCCAGCCAUGCCGCGUGAGUGAUGAAGGCCUUAGGGUUGUAAAGCUCUUUUGUCCGGGACGAUAAUGACGGUACCGGAAGAAUAAGCCCCGGCUAACUUCG